rnacentral:rRNA from 1 species
GACAGAGGGUGCAAACGUUGCUCGGAAUCACUGGGCGUAAAGGGCGUGUAGGCGGGAAGGAAAGUCAGAUGUGAAAUCCCUGGGCUCAACCCAGGAACUGCAUUUGAAACUCCCUUUCUUAAAUAUCAAAAAGGAAAGCGGAAUUCCUGGUGUAGAGGUGAAAUUCGUAGAUAUCAGGAGGAACACCGGUGGCGAAGGCGGCUUUCUGGACGAUAACUGACGCUGAGACGCGAAAGCGUGGGGAGCAAACAGG